UAUAAUUAUGAUACAAAACGAUAAAAUUUUUUAACAAGCUGUUAUGGCCCGUUCAUGGGAUGCAAUAACAAAAUGUUAAUUGAGAUUGUUUCAGGAGUAAUUUAAAACUACAUAAGGCGUUAUUCAAUGCUAUGACGUAGCAUUAAACUUCGUUAAAAAGCAGAUUUUAUUUUCCUUUUUCAAUGUCUUAUGCAUCAUUUACGUAAAUAAAAAUUCUUGUGGAUAGGAAACCAAAUUUCUUAAAGAUGCACAAGAUUACAUUGUUGGCUUUUGUAGUACUUUGCUGCGCAUGUUUAGUACACUGUCAAACUGAAAUGUCAGAGAAUCAAGAGGAUUUCCAGAAGUCUGUUGUAAAACUAUUCCAAGACGCCAUUGAAGUUUUUAAAAAAGGAAUGAUGAACCCAGGUGGUUUAAUGGGUGCCUUCCAAUCCGUCGCCAUGGCCAUCUCAUCAAAUCCUAACGUUCUCUUCUCUUUAUUAAACGACAUCAUUUCUUAAGGCUUGUACUGUUUUAUGCAGAUAUAAAAAUCUUGAUAUCGAAUGCUUGUUGUAAAUAAUAAAAUACCCAUACAUUUUGAUGAAAAA